rnacentral:tRNA from 1 species
GCCUGAGUAGCUCAGUUGGUUAAGCGUCAGACUCUUGAUUUCAGCUCAGGUCAUGAUCUUGGGGUGGGUGGGUUUGAGCCCCACAUCAGGCU